rnacentral:rRNA from 1 species
AGUGAACGCUGGCGGUAGGCCUAACACAUGCCAGUCGAACGGCAGCACAGUAAGAGCUUGCUCUUACGGGUGGCGGGUGGCGGACGGGUGAGGAAUACAUCGGAAUCUACUUUUUCGUGGGGGAUAACGUAGGGAAACUUACGCUAAUACCGCAUACGACCUACGGGUGAAAGCAGGGGAUCUUCGGACCUUGCGCGAUUGAAUGAGCCGAUGUCGGAUUAGCUAGUUGGCGGGGUAAAGGCCCACCAAGGCGACGAUCCGUAGCUGGUCUGAGAGGAUGAUCAGCCACACUGGAACUGAGACACGGUCCAGACUCCUACGGGAGGCAGCAGUGGGGAAUAUUGGACAAUGGGCGCAAGCCUGAUCCAGCCAUACCGCGUGGGUGAAGAAGGCCUUCGGGUUGUAAAGCCCUUUUGUUGGGAAAGAAAAGCAGCAGGUUAAUACCCCGCUGUUCCGACGGUACCCAAAGAAUAAGCACCGGCUAACUUCGUG